rnacentral:rRNA from 1 species
AACGAACGCUGGCGGCAGGCCUAACACAUGCAAGUCGAACGGUAACAGAGGGAAGCUUGCUUCCUUGCUGACGAGUGGCGGACGGGUGAGUAAUGUCUGGGGAUCUGCCUGAUGGAGGGGGAUAACCACUGGAAACGGUGGAUAAUACCGCAUAACGUCGCAAGACCAAAGUGGGGGACAUUCGGGCCUCAUGCCAUCAGAUGACCCCAGAUGGGAUUAGCCAGUUGGUGAGGUAACGGCUCACCAAAGCGACGAUCCCUAGCUGGUCUGAGAGGAUGACCAGCCACACUGGAACUGAGACACGGGCCAGACGCCUACGGGAGGCAGGAGUGGGGAAUAUUGCACAAUGGGCGCAAGCCUGAUGCAGCCAUGCCGCGUGUAUGAAGAAGGCCUUAGGGUUGUAAAGUACUUUCAGCGGGGAGGAAGGGUGUGAGUUUAAUACGCUCAUGCAUUGACGUUACCCGCAGAAGAAGCACCGGCUAACUCCGUGCCAGCCGCCGCGGUAA